AAGGCAUUGCAAUUAAGAAAACCCUACAGAUUUCUUUUCAUUAGACUGCUUAAUAUUUUCUCUCUCUGAACAAAAAAAAAAAAAAAAAAAAGCGGUACUACGAUAUAGAGAAAGGGAAGGAGAAAAGAAAAAGUUGCAAUCCAGUGAAGAAUCAUGUGAUCAAACGUUCGUCCCAGAGGUAUUGAGAGAGAGGCGAUGAAAUCGAGAGAGAGGCUAUGAAGACACGGAGAAAGAAACAGAAAAAGAGAGAAGCGAUGAAGACACGGUGAAGCAAACAGAAAAAGAGAGAGGCGAUCCUGGUACACGGAGAAAGAAGAGAUUGCCUCUCUAUUUCUGACAAAAUGGCUCUCUGCCCACAAACAACGCCUCUGAUGGGUUCUAUUCUUUUUCUUAUUUAUUUAUAGAGAUAGAAAUAAAGAAAGAGAGGCGAUGAGGCCUGGGACAUGGAGAAAGAAACAGAGAAAGAGGCAGAGUUCAGUUUCCGCACCACCGUCCGUUCCCUUUCCAAAUUUAGACCACCAGAUUGCUGGAACCGACAUCGACAACGGAGUUCAUCAAGCGUAAACUCAUAAAUAGUUCUUUUAGCCAACAAUAUUGAUGGCAAUUUCACCUUGUGGAAGUACGUGGGUUGCUCAAUGGGGAAUUUGCCCUCAGUGCAUGCUGAGGUCUUAUGUCACAAACAAGAUUACAACAUCCCGACAUUGUACUACAAGUAGUAUAAGCUUUUUAUCAGCACCAAGUUCAAGCUUAUUUUCUCGCAGUUCCUUCCUUGUGGUAUCAUAUCCAGGUUCAUCUCUAACUUCACAACGUCGUAGGGGUGCAUGUUUCACAGUUAGAGCAGAUUCUGUGGAACUCAAUUACAGAGAGAAUUGUGCAAGGUGUGCCUAUGAUUGCAUGGCCAUUCUAUGUGGAGCAAAAGAUGAACACUGUAUUGGUAGCAAAUGAUUUGAAGGUUGCAAUGAGGGUUAAAGUGAAUGAUAAGGGCCUUGUGACACAAAGACAUCGCAAACUACGCAAGAAGCCUAAUUAGGGGAGAAGAAGGGAAAUUGAUCUGGAGCAAAAUGAAAGAACUUAAGGAUGCAGCUGCAAAGGCUUUGAGCCGAGAAGAAUCGUCAGCAAAAUCACUUGCCAUGGUGACUCGGUUAUGGAAGAGACACCAAAAAUGAUGUACUUACGUGUAGAAAUGACAAGCAUGUGUUCUUGUGAUUUGUCUUGAAUUCUGUUCUAUUAGAGUAUCUAUUUUCCUUGUUAAAUGCCAUUCCAUCUUAUUCGUAAGGAUAUAACAUUUGUGGUUGGAAUGAGGACAAUAAAAUAUUGGAACCCUAUGCUAAAUACUUAAUCUUGUGGAU